GGGAAGCGUGGCAGUGUGUCAUCGUGAGUCAUUAGUUUUUCGAUAGUAUCGCCAUGAAUACUGUUUCAUCCUCAAUUCGAUUUGUGGUUUUGAUAAAGAGUACUUAAUUUUAUUUUUCUCUCUAUAGUUAAUUUUACUCAAUCUUAUUUUCUAUAAAAUCAAGCGCUUAACUAUAUAUAAAUUUGAACCAUAAGAAAAAGAAGAAAAAACAUAAGAAGAAAUUGAAAUUGAGAAAAAAUGAAAUCAUUUGUAAUUUGCUUGAUUAUCCUUAGCUUAUGUGGUGGAGGAUCCACAUCAACCAUUACAAAUUCCGCUACGAAUGCCAACCCUGAGGAUGCUGCUCGUCAAUUUUGCAACCUUGGUUGUGCCGCUUCUCUCUGCAGCCAAAUUUCCACCCUGCAAAACCCGAACCUGGAAAAAUCAGAGAGUUGUUAUAAAGGAUGUUAUCAAACUUGCAUGAAGUAGUGAUGCUAACAAAAGGAAUAUGAAGUAUGGUGAGAGGAGAAAGGAACUGUGAUUGACUUUUCAAGAUAAACAUACCAUACACGAAUAAUAAAACCAUUGGCUUAAAAGCCUAUUAUUUCAUAUUUAAACACAUUUUUUGUUUUGAUGUAAAUGUAGAUUCAUGCUUUUGAAUGUAGUUGAUUAUGAGCAAUAAAAAACAUCACAGUUUCUCUUUUUAUGCUAU